rnacentral:rRNA from 1 species
UACGGAGGAUGCAAGCGUUAUCCGGAAUGAUUGGGCGUAAAGCGUCCGCAGGUGGCUGUGUAAGUCUGUUGUCAAAGAGCAAAGCUCAACUUUGUAAAGGCAGUGGAAACUACACGGCUAGAGUGCGUUCGGGGCAGAGGGAAUUCCUGGUGUAGCGGUGAAAUGCGUAGAGAUCAGGAAGAACACCGGUGGCGAAGGCGCUCUGCUAGGCCGCAACUGACACUGAGGGACGAAAGCUAGGGGAGCGAAUGGG